ACAGAUGGCUGCUUCUAACCCUGUUGGUGUGGGUGUCCAGGAUGCACAGCCUAUGCUGCAUCAAUAGAAAAGGAUUAUGUUAAAUGCAAGUACAUCACCAGACCUGCUACAUCACCAGCCGCUAGUGAAGAAGUCUCCUUUGUAAAUGAGUAAUCAUCUGGCUGUUAAUAAAGGUGAUCCUUUUA